rnacentral:miRNA from 1 species
AUGAAGUGUUUGGGGGAACUU